rnacentral:rRNA from 1 species
CCUACGGGAGGCAGCAGUGGGGAAUAUUGGACAAUGGGGGCAACCCUGAUCCAGCCAUGCCGCGUGUGUGAAGAAGGCCCUCGGGUUGUAAAGCACUUUCAGUGAGGAAGAACGCCUGGUGGUUAAUACCCAUCAGGAAAGACAUCACUCACAGAAGAAGCACCGGCUAACUCCGUGCCAGCAGCCGCGGUAAUACGGAGGGUGCGAGCGUUAAUCGGAAUUACUGGGCGUAAAGCGCGCGUAGGUGGCUUGAUAAGCCGGUUGUGAAAGCCCCGGGCUCAACCUGGGAACGGCAUCCGGAACUGUCAAGCUAGAGUGCAGGAGAGGAGGGUAGAAUUCCCGGUGUAGCGGUGAAAUGCGUAGAGAUCGGGAGGAAUACCAGUGGCGAAGGCGGCCUUCUGGACUGACACUGACACUGAGGUGCGAAAGCGUGGGUAGCAAACGGGAUUAGAUACCCUUGUAGUC